AUGCGGUCACGUCACGUUGAAACACCGGCUCUCGUAUGAUCACCGAAUUUAAGCAACGUCGAGCCUGCUCAGUACAUAGAUGGGUAACAGCUUGUGAAUGAAAGGUGUU